rnacentral:rRNA from 1 species
UGAUACGACCAUAGGCGCUGGGAAAUUUCGGAAUCCCGUUUGCUCUCACCUAGACAAACCAGCGACCGCCGAAUCAGUAAUUGGGUCGGUGAGGACCAGCGAAUCCUCGGUGUUGUAUGUU